AAAUUAUUAUUAUUAAAAGUAAAGUAAAUAAAAAGGAAAUAAAGGAAAGAAACAAAAGAAUAAAAAGAAGGAAGGAAACAGAAUAGCAGGAAACGAAACAGAGAAGAAACAGGGGAGAAAGAAAGAAAGAAAAGAAAAGGGAAAAUAAGGUUUUAAAGGUUCCAAGUUAAUUUGUCAAUGUGGUACCGGAAAUCUCGGCUAAGAAAGGACAAGACAAAGUCAACGGGAGUUAGCUCGAAAAUUACGGUUUGUAUUUCUAUAAUCCGAACUUAGUUAUUAUUUGUUAUAUUUAUAUACAUAUGGCAAUUGUUAGUGUUAAAAUUAUGAUGUUUUACAAUUGGAAUGGAUUGAUUUUGGUAUGCGAUGAAUUUAUUGAAUUUA